CCCUUAGAUGUUCUGGGCCGCACGCGCGCUACACUGAUGCAUUCAACGAGUCUAAAACCUGUUCUGAUAGUGGUGGGUAAUCUUUUGAAUGUGCAUCGUGAUUGGGAUAGAUGAUUGCAAUUUUUCAUCUUCAACGAGGAAUGCCUAGUAAACGCAAGUCAUCAGCUUGCAUUGAUUACGUCCCUGCCCUUUGUACACACCGCCCGUCGCUCCUACCGAUUGAAUGGUUUAGUGAGGCCUUCGGAUCCGCGACUCGUUUUGUGGAGAAGUUGGACAAACUCAGUCAUUUAGAGGAAGUAAAAGUCGUAACA
rnacentral:rRNA from 1 species